AUUGAACGCUGGCGGCAGGCUUAACACAUGCAAGUCGAGCGAGCGGCGGACGGGUGAGUAAUGUCUGGGAAACUGCCUGAUGGAGGGGGAUAACCACUGGAAAAGGUAGCCAAUACCGCAUACCAUCAGAUGUGCCCAGAUGGGAUUAGCUAGUGGGUGGGGUAAUGGCUCACCUAGGCGACGAUCCCUCGCUGGUCUGAGAGGAUGACCAGCCACACGGGAACUGAGACACGGUCCAGACUCCUCCGGAAGGCAGCAGUGGGGAAUAUUGGACAAUGGGCGCAAACCUGAUGCAGCCAUGCCGCGUGUGGGAAGAAGGCCUUCGGGUUGUAAAGCACUUUCAGCGGGGAGGCGUUACUCGCAGAAGAAGCACCGGCUAACUCCGUGCCAGCAGCCGCGGUAAUUC
rnacentral:rRNA from 1 species